rnacentral:lncRNA from 1 species
AUGAUUCUGGCUUCACCCAGCUGCUUGGAAAGGAGCUUGCAGGAAGGUCUGAUGCUGAAGCUGAAUCUGCAGUCAUUGGAAAAGACCCUGAUGCUGGGCAAGAUUGAAGCCAAAAGGAGAAGGCAGCAGCAGAGAAUGAGAUGGUUGGAUGACAUCACUGACUCAAUGGACAUGAAUUUGGGCAAAAUCCAGGGGAUGGAGAAGGUCAGGGAAGCUGGGCAUGCUGCAGCCCAUAGGGUCACAAAGUCAGACACGACUUAGCAACUGAACAACAGCAAAACAUGGGCACCUAAUUUGAAAAACAAAAUACUUUAGAAGCCAAACAAAACAUGUCUGCUAAAUGCAGUCUGCAACUCUGGCUAAACUAGUGGCCAACUUGAGCAACACCAGAUAAAAAGAUGUACAGGUAUAUCACAGAGGAGUGUUAAGAAGAGCUGCUUAUCAGACAUUCUGGCUAUACCGCUACUGGGUGAUUACAAUCCAUCUAAAAUAUUGAAUGUUUAUGUUAAUGGUGAAUAAAUACAGUCUAUGAUUUUAUCAUCUCUAGUGUUUUACAUUGAUGGUAAUUGAUAAUUACUUCCCACUGCCGUUUCUGAAACACUCCGGGGUAGGAGCUGAGCUUUGAUGUGCUCUUUUGAAUACAUGUGUGCUGUACGGGAAACAUCUGAGUCAGGACCCUGCUAGGCCACGACUCGUUUCAUAUGUGUGUUUCAUGUUCAUGACUUUUUGUGGUUCAAAAUCACGUCUUGCGUCUUUUGUCUCAAUCAUUCAGGGUAAGGACAAAAUGAAAAUGAAAAAGUCUUAUGAAAUGAAAAAUGAUGAAAGUCUUAGACAAGAGUUCCCUUGAGAAGGAACCGCCACCGCAAGCAGUUUGUUCUCCUCUCACACUGAUGUUGCAUCUUUAAUCUCUCCUUUUCGGAGAGACAAUGAAUGAUCAACGUCACCAGUCACCGCGGGCCUUCGCGCUCCGUGAUUUAGACUCUCACUAGCUGAGAGCAGGGCAGAAGGAGGAUUUGACAACUUUGAACUUUCUAUGUGCUUUUUGCCUUCGCCACAGUUGUUAUUAGAGUUCUAAAAAGGCAACAG